GAUGAACGCUGGCGGCGUGCCUAAUACAUGCAAGUCGAGCGAACAGACGAGGAGCUUGCUCCUCUGACGUUAGCGGCGGACGGGUGAGUAACACGUGGAUAACCUACCUAUAAGACUGGGAUAACUUCGGGAAACCGGAGCUAAUACCGGAUAAUAUAUUGAACCUAAUGGUUCAAUAGUGAAAUACGGUUUUGCUGUCACUUAUAGAUGGAUCCGCGCCGCAUUAGCUAGUUGGUAAGGUAACGGCUUACCAAGGCGACGAUGCGUAGCCGACCUGAGAGGGUGAUCGGCCACACUGGAACUGAGACACGGUCCAGACUCCUACGGGAGGCAGCAGUAGGGAAUCUUCCGCAAUGGGCGAAAGCUUGACGGAGCAACGCCGCGUGAAUGAUGAAGGUCUUCGGAUCGUAAAACUCUGUUAUUAGGGAAGAACAAAUGUGUAAGUAACUAUGCACGUCUUGACGGUACCUAAUCAGAAAGCCACGGCUAACUACGUG
rnacentral:rRNA from 1 species